rnacentral:rRNA from 1 species
AUUGAACGCUGGCGGAAUGCUUUACACAUGCAAGUCGAACGGCAGCACGGACUUCGGUCUGGUGGCGAGUGGCGAACGGGUGAGUAAUGUAUCGGAACGUGCCCAGUCGUGGGGGAUAACGUAGUGAAAAUUACGCUAAUACCGCAUACGAUCUAUGGAUGAAAGCGGGGGAUCGCAAGACCUCGCGCGAUUGGAGCGGCCGAUAUCAGAUUAGGUAGUUGGGGGGGUAAAGGCCCACCAAGCCGACGAUCUGUAGCUGGUCUGCGAGGACGACCAGCCACACUGGAGCUGAGACACGGUCCAGACUCCUACGGGAGGCAGCAGUGGGGAAUUUUGGACAAUGGGCGAAAGCCUGAUCCAGCCAUUCCGCGUGCAGGAUGGAGGCCCUCGGGUUGUAAACUGCUUUUGUACAGAACGAAAAGGUUUCUACUAAUACUAGGAGCUCAUGACGGUACUGUAAGAAUAAGCACCGGCUAACUACGUGCCAGCAGCCGCGGUAA